AUGAUAAAGAUGCAGUACCUUUCUCUUAAAAAAAAAAAUGGUAUGGAAAGCUGUGAGAAUUGAAGAGACAAAUUGGCUGUGUCAGUGUGGGGUUAUGUCAUGAUUUCUAGAAGCCCUGAAGUUGCUCUUUUCAGCAGCUUUGCAUGACACGCUCUGGUAAAAGGUGUGCAUCUUUAAAUUAUUUCAUGGAUACUUUGAAAAAUAUUGUAUCACUUCAAAUACAGCAAUAAGUUUAUAUGUUCUCAAGAUUUCAUUUGUUUUUAAGAAUUUAAAGUUCGUGGAUUCAUAUCACUACUUGAAUACUGACAGUUGUUGAUUAGACACCGAAAGGUUACUGAUUAUUGAAUGUAUCUGUGUUAGAGCUGUGCACUGGCACGCUUGCAUCAGGGGCUGGGGCCACACGGCCGCCACACAGAUUCCCCCGUGAUGCCUGGAGCUGCUUCCAGAGCCGGGUGUCUCCAAGAGGUACCUGUAGGACUUCCCAUUUAGAAAUCUCUGAGUGGGUUUGUAUGUUACCUUCUCCAAGGUUUAUUUAGGACAGAGAUAUUGCGGGAAGGUCAUGGGUCAGAUUCCCUCACGACCCACCUCGUCUGCGGGUGCAGCCCCACCCCAAGGCUCCCCGUUAUUGGGGUAUGUGAGGAGCAGUAAAUAUAAAACCAGUUCACCUGUCCUCAUGGAAUUACCCUUUCUAUUUUUGCAGUAUUCAUAAAGCUAGUAUAAGGUCUGGUUUUAGUCUAUUAAAUCUUAGAGAUCUAAAGGAAAUGCUCAAAAUGUAGCCAGGUUUUAAAUGCUUCAACUUUUAAAAAAUGUAAAUUUUUGUAUGUUUAUAGCUUCUAAAUAUGAAAGUUAAAGAAUGUACUGUGAUGAAAUGUUCAGUAUUAUGUUGCUUCUCAGUAUUGUGUUGCUUCUGAUUCUAUGAAUGUUCAUUUUAAGACCCCUUGUUGAAAUGGGACAGUUGGCAGCGGCUCUGGUGAGCCCGAGAAGAGGCCUGCCCUUGGGUGCGGAGUCUCCCUCCGCACGAUGCUCCCACGCGUCCAACUUGCACCCAAGGGGCUUUUCCCUCUUCCAAGUGGACUCCUUCAAGGAAGCUGCAGCUCGGUCAGCAGAGAAGGGGCCUGCCGCCAGCGCCCUGGAGGAAGAGGAAGAGGAACCCAAGAGGAUGGCUUGUCUCCCAGCAGCCACACCGGCUUUGUGCUCAGCCAGUUCAUUUGAGUUUGCAUGUUUCUCUGCACUAUGGAUUUUGAGCAUUUAGAUUUCUUUAAUCAAAAGCGUUUUAGUGACUCCAGUAGACAUUUUCUUUCUGAGGCAUCGUGCUUUGCAUGAGAGCAGGCCAAGGUUGAGGGGAAAAGUAAAGUUAAAGUCGGUUCUCUUUCAUAGCAACACGUAUUGUCUGACAUUCAGCCAGCUUUUUUUUUUUCUAAUAAUUUCUGUGCCUUCCUGUCCUGUAUUUACUGUAUUUAGAAAAAGCAGCUAGAAUAUUUCUCCAUUAACUCUUGAGAUUCACAGGACUGUCUAGCUCUGAGUCCUAGCAAUAGACUCCUUAGAGGGGUAGUACAUUUAUCUCGAUUUUCUCUAGAUAAUGCAGGCGGAAGACCUGGGUUCCCGGGUGGGGCAUUGCAGUUCUUCCUGUGUUUGGCUUCCAGGAAUUACAUGAACGACAGCCUUCGCACCGACGUCUUCGUGCGCUUCCAGCCAGAGAGCAUCGCCUGCGCCUGCAUUUAUCUUGCUGCCCGGACGCUGGAGAUCCCUUUGCCCAAUCGUCCCCAUUGGUUUCUUUUGUUUGGAGCAAGUGAAGAAGAAAUUCAGGAAAUCUGCUUAAAGAUCUUGCAGCUUUAUGCUCGGAAAAAGGUUGAUCUCACACACCUGGAGGGUGAAGUGGAAAAAAGAAAGCACGCUAUCGAAGAGGCAAAGGCCCAAGCCCGGGGCCUGUUGCCUGGGGGCACACAGGUGCUGGAUGGUACCUCGGGGUUCUCUCCUGCCCCCAAGCUGGUGGAAUCCCCCAAAGAAGGUAAAGGGAGCAAGCCUUCCCCACUGUCUGUGAAGAACACCAAGAGGAGGCUGGAGGGCGCCAAGAAAGCCAAGGCGGACAGCCCCGUGAACGGCUUGCCAAAGGGGCGAGAGAGUCGAAGUCGGAGCCGGAGCCGUGAGCAGAGCUACUCGAGGUCCCCAUCCCGAUCAGCGUCUCCUAAGAGGAGGAAAAGUGACAGCGGCUCCACAUCUGGUGGGUCCAAGUCGCAGAGCCGCUCCCGGAGCAGGAGUGACUCCCCACCGAGACAGGCCCCCCGCAGCGCUCCCUACAAAGGCUCUGAGAUUCGGGGCUCCCGGAAGUCCAAGGACUGCAAGUACCCCCAGAAGCCACACAAGUCUCGGAGCCGGAGUUCUUCCCGUUCUCGAAGCAGGUCACGGGAGCGGGCGGAUAAUCCGGGAAAAUACAAGAAGAAAAGUCAUUACUACAGAGAUCAGCGACGAGAGCGCUCGAGGUCGUAUGAACGCGCAGGCCGUCGCUAUGAGCGGGACCACCCUGGGCACAGCAGGCAUCGGAGGUGAGGCGGGGUUGCAGUGACUGGUGGCCGCAAGCCCUUCCCUGGGGAGUACCUGAUGGCUGCCCUUUGACCCCCGGUGGCUGCCCUUUGACCCCCGGGUGUGCUCUCUCAGCGCAAGUGGCCCUAGAGCAGGAUUCUUUUUGGAAAUGUCUGUCGACUGGACCUUGGUGGAUUUGGAAAUGGAACUGAGGGACCGGUGACACGUGCUUCAGACCGGUCUGGGGUGCGGCGCACACCUGGGCCGGUGCGGGGCUCAGCUCGGCAGCAGCUCUGAGGGCAGCUCAAUGAAAAAGUGAAUGCACACGCCCUUGGUGGCGUGGCCUGGCAUGGCCUGGUGCUAUCGGCAGCCGCUCCCCACUCCCCGACUGAUACUCAAUUACGUGAAGCCAAGAAGGAUGAUUUUUAGAACCUUUGCCUAUAUUAGGUUGUACUUAUGUACAUAUUUUGCAGUGUUUCACAGGAGAAAGUGGCCUUAACUGCCCCUUAUUCUCUCUCCACGUUGUAAAUAAACAUGUGUUUAAUAC
rnacentral:sRNA from 1 species